rnacentral:rRNA from 1 species
AGCCUGAUGCAGCCAUGCCGCGUGUGUGAAGAAGGCCUUCGGGUUGUAAAGCACUUUCAGUCAGGAGGAAAGGUUAGUAGUUAAUACCUGCUAGCUGUGACGUUACUGACAGAAGAAGCACCGGCUAACUCCGUGCCAGCAGCCGCGGUAAUACGGAGGGUUUUCCGCGUUAAUCGGAAUUACUGGGCGUAAAGCGUACGCAGGCGGUUUGUUAAGCGAGAUGUGAAAGCCCCGGGCUUAACCUGGGAACUGCAUUUCGAACUGGCAAACUAGAGUGUGAUAGAGGGUGGUAGAAUUUCAGGUGUAGCGGUGAAAUGCGUAGAGAUCUGAAGGAAUACCGAUGGCGAAGGCAGCCACCUGGGUCAACACUGACGCUCAUGUACGAAAGCGUGGGG